GGCGGCGUGCUUAACACAUGCAAGUCGAACGAUGAAGCCCAGCUUGCUGGGUGGAUUAGUGGCGAACGGGUGAGUAACACGUGAGCAACCUGCCCCUGACUCUGGGAUAAGCGCUGGAAACGGCGUCUAAUACUGGAUAUGUCCCGUCACCGCAUGGUGUGCGGGUGGAAAGAUUUUUCGGUUGGGGAUGGGCUCGCGGCCUAUCAGCUUGUUGGUGAGGUAAUGGCUCACCAAGGCGUCGACGGGUAGCCGGCCUGAGAGGGUGACCGGCCACACUGGGACUGAGACACGGCCCAGACUCCUACGGGAGGCAGCAGUGGGGAAUAUUGCACAAUGGGCGGAAGCCUGAUGCAGCAACGCCGCGUGAGGGAUGACGGCCUUCGGGUUGUAAACCUCUUUUAGCAGGGAAGAAGCGAAAGUGACGGUACCUGCAGAAAAAGCACCGGCUAACUACGUGCCAGCAGCCGCGGUAAUACGUAGGGUGCAAGCGUUAUCCGGAAUUAUUGGGCGUAAAGAGCUCGUAGGCGGUCUGUCGCGUCUGCUGUGAAAUUCCGAGGCUCAACCUCGGGCUUGCAGUGGGUACGGGCAGACUAGAGUGCGGUAGGGGAGAUUGGAAUUCCUGGUGUAGCGGUGGAAUGCGCAGAUAUCAGGAGGAACACCGAUGGCGAAGGCAGAUCUCUGGGCCGUAACUGACGCUGAGGAGCGAAAGGGUGGGGAGCAAACAGGCUUAGAUACCCUGGUAGUCCACCCCGUAAACGUUGGGAACUAGUUGUGGGGUCCUUUCCACGGAUUCCGUGACGCAGCUAACGCAUUAAGUUCCCCGCCUGGGGAGUACGGCCGCAAGGCUAAAACUCAAAGGAAUUGACGGGGACCCGCACAAGCGGCGGAGCAUGCGGAUUAAUUCGAUGCAACGCGAAGAACCUUACCAAGGCUU
rnacentral:rRNA from 1 species